rnacentral:rRNA from 1 species
CUACGGGAUGCAGCAGUGGGGAAUAUUGCACAAUGGGCGCAAGCCUGAUGCAGUCAUGCCGCGUGUAUGAAGAAGGCCUUCGGGUUGUAAAGUACUUUCAGCGGGGAGGAAGGGAGUAAAGUUAAUACCUUUGCUCAUUGACGUUACCCGCAGAAGAAGCACCGGCUAACUCCGUGCCAGCAGCCGCGGUAAUACGGAGGGUGCAAGCGUUAAUCGGAAUUACUGGGCGUAAAGCGCACGCAGGCGGUUUGUUAAGUCAGAUGUGAAAUCCCCGGGCUCAACCUGGGAACUGCAUCUGAUACUGGCAAGCUUGAGUCUCGUAGAGGGGGGUAGAAUUCCAGGUGUAGCGGUGAUAUGCGUAGAGAUCUGGAGGAAUACCGGUGGCGAAGGCGGCCCCCUGGACGAAGACUGACGCUCAGGUGCGAAAGCGUGGGGAGCAAACAGGAUUAGAUACCCCUGUAGUC